UGCGAUCGAGGCAGACUAAACACGCCACUUCCUGUGGCAACGUCUGCAAUAGCACGUCCUACGCG
rnacentral:sRNA from 1 species